UGGGGAAUAUUGGACAAUGGGCGCAAGCCUGAUCCAGCAAUUCCGCGUGGGUGAAGAAGGUCUUCGGAUUGUAAAGCCCUUUCGGCAGGGACGAUGAUGACGGUACCUGCAGAAGAAGCCCCGGCUAACUUCGUGCCAGCAGCCGCGGUAAUACGAAGGGGGCUAGCGUUGCUCGGAAUUACUGGGCGUAAAGGGCGCGUAGGCGGCGCUGCAAGUCAGGGCGUGAAAUUCCUGGGCUUAACCUGGGGGCUGCGCUUGAGACUGUGGUGCUAGAGGAUGGAAGAGGCUCGUGGAAUUCCCAGUGUAGAGGUGAAAUUCGUAGAUAUUGGGAAGAACACCGGUGGCGAAGGCGGCGAGCUGGUCCAUUACUGACGCUGAGGCGCGACAGCGUGGGGAGCAAACAGGAUUAGAUACCCUGGUAGUCCACGCCGUAAACGAUGUGCGCUGGAUGUUGGGGCCCCUAGGGCUUCAGUGUCGUAGCCAACGCGGUAAGCGCACCGCCUGGGGA
rnacentral:rRNA from 1 species